rnacentral:rRNA from 1 species
UACGUAGGACCCAAGCGUUAUCCGGAAUCACUGGGCGUAAAGCGUACGUAGGCGGCGCGUUAAGUGCAACGCGAAAUCCAACGGCUCAACCGUUUGGACUGUGUUGCAUACUGGCGUGCUUGAGGAUGGCAGAGGCAAGUGGAAUUGGUAGUGUAGCAGUGAAAUGCGUAGAUAUUACCAGGAACACCAAUGGCGAAGGCAGCUUGCUGGGCCAUAUCUGACGCUGAGGUACGAAAGCGUGGGGAGCGAA